rnacentral:rRNA from 1 species
UACGAAGGGGGCUAGCGUUGCUCGGAAUCACUGGGCGUAAAGCGCACGUAGGCGGGCUCUUAAGUCGGUGGUGAAAUCCUGGAGCUCAACUCCAGAACUGCCUCCGAUACUGAGAGUCUUCGAGUCCGGGAGAGGUGAGUGGAACUGCGAGUGUAGAGGUGAAAUUCGUAGAUAUUCGCAAGAACACCAGUGGCGAAGGCGGCUCACUGGCCCGAUACUGACGCUGAGGUGCGAAAGCGUGGGGAGCAAACAGG